rnacentral:tRNA from 1 species
GGCGCAGUAGUUCAGUUGGUUAGAAUGCCAGCCUGUCACGCUGGAGGUCG